AACAAGCUCAAUGAGAUCUCCGACGAGCGUAGAGAAGUGGCAAUGAUUAACAAGUGCACUUUGGUGACAUGGGUAUCCAAAUCAAUUAUCUUCAAUUAUCUUAAGCUUUUCAACAUAUACCGCAAACUGGGAUGUUACAAUUCACCCUCUCUCAAAGAACGCAAUGUCUCCGUUGCGCCCCAGGAUUGUUACCAAUGUUAGUGUGAGUCCUCACUGACUCCAACUUGUUUGGGUUUGGCUCUGAUACCACUUGUACCGCACCAUCAGUCGCACGGAUUGGGGUCCACGGGCCGAGAGAGCGGAUGUGGGAGGCCCAUUAGCCAUAGGCGGUCGCGGUGUUACAAUAUUAUCACAUCGCAUAUGGCGACAAUUCAAGUUCCUGGUGACUGCUACAUGUCCUGAGAGUAACUGCCAUAUAAGAUGACGAAUCUUUUGUGGAGCAUUUACCUUCCAAGCAAAGGAUUGGAACUAAGUGUAUAAUAAUUUCCACGCAAAACACGGGUCAGAAGAGAGUCUGGAAAUUGUAUCAAUCUCCACAACUGUUUCGCCAGCAAACUACAUUAAACUCUUGUAUCAUCCUAAAACCAAUGCCUCGCUCU
rnacentral:lncRNA from 1 species